rnacentral:rRNA from 1 species
AGAGUUUGAUCCUGGCUCAGGAUGAACGCUAGCGGCAGGCUUAAUACAUGCAAGUCGAACGGGAUUCGGGGUAGCAAUACUUUGAUGAGAGUGGCGCACGGGUGCGUAACGCGUAUGCAACCUACCUUUAACAGGUGAAUAGCCCCGAGAAAUCGGGAUUAAUACACCGUAACAUUGCGCUGUGGCAUCACAGUGCAAUUAAAGAUUUAUCGGUUAAAGAUGGGCAUGCGUGACAUUAGCUAGUUGGUGAGGUAACGGCUCACCAAGGCAACGAUGUCUAGGGGUCCUGAGAGGGUUAUCCCCCACACUGGUACUGAGACACGGACCAGACUCCUACGGGAGGCAGCAGUAAGGAAUAUUGGUCAAUGGGCGCAAGCCUGAACCAGCCAUGCCGCGUGCAGGAAGACGGCCCUAUGGGUUGUAAACUGCUUUUGUCAGGGAAUAAACCUCCGAACGUGUUCGGAGCUGACGGUACCAUAAGAAUAAGCAUCGGCUAACUCCGUG